rnacentral:rRNA from 1 species
CCUACGGGUGGCUGCAGUGGGGAAUAUUGGGCAAUGGGCGCAAGCCUGAACCAGCAACGCCGCGUGAAGGAAGAAGGAUUUCGGGUUGUAAACCUCUUUUGACAGGGGAGUGUAGAUGACGGUACGUGUCGAUUAAGCUAUGGCUAACUACGUGCCAGCAGCCGCGGUAAUACGGAGGACGCAAGCGUUUGCCGGAUUUACUGGGUGUAAAGGGCGUGUAGCGGGGUUUACAAGUCAGAUGUGAAAUUCUGUGGCUUAACCGAAGAACUGCGGUUGAAACUGUAGGACUUGAGUAAGUGAGAGGCAGGCGGAAUGCGUGGUGUAGCGGUGAAAUGCGUAGAUAUCAGGAAGAACAUCGGUGGCGAAGGCGACUAACUAGGACAUAACUGACGCUGAGGAACGAAAGCGUGGGGAGCAAACAGGAUUAGAUACCCGAGUAGUC